AUGCUGUUUGACAACUUCUGUUCACAUAGGAAUUGGAGAGCAAGGCCAGGUCAUGCUCUUGGAUGCGCCCAUAUGGCACUGACUAAACCAACAGUUGUUACAUGUUUGCAUCCAAAAGCAAUAUUUGGCUUCAUAUUUUGAAACCUUAUUGCAAACGGAGAAGAACGUGAAUUUUCUGCUUGUUGUUUUUAACCCCAUGUUCUGUACCCAGAACAAUGCAAACCUAAAAGAAUUUCAAGACGAGAGGCCUGAGUCUCCUCCCAUUCACCCAGCUGUUAAUCAGGAGUCAAUGGGGUUACACGGCUUUAAAAGUGUGAUGCUUCCCUGAAAAGUGACAAGUAACCAGAGCCCGCUGUCUACAGUCCUGAGCUCCACCUUUCAAGACGGAGAAUGAUUUUUGAUCUCUGAAGCCGCACCCUACAUCUUCCUGUAAC